rnacentral:rRNA from 1 species
GUGCGGCGUGCUUAACACAUGCAAGUCGAACGGAAAGGCCCUGCUUUUGUGGGGUGCUCGAGUGGCGAACGGGUGAGUAACACGUGAGUAACCUGCCCUUGACUUUGGGAUAACUUCAGGAAACUGGGGCUAAUACCGGAUAGGAGCUCCUGCUGCAUGGUGGGGGUUGGAAAGUUUCGGCGGUUGGGGAUGGACUCGCGGCUUAUCAGCUUGUUGGUGGGGUAGUGGCUUACCAAGGCUUUGACGGGUAGCCGGCCUGAGAGGGUGACCGGCCACAUUGGGACUGAGAUACGGCCCAGACUCCUACGGGAGGCAGCAGUGGGGAAUAUUGCACAAUGGGCGGAAGCCUGAUGCAGCAACGCCGCGUGCGGGAUGACGGCCUUCGGGUUGUAAACCGCUUUCGCCUGUGACGAAGCGUGAGUGACGGUAAUGGGUAAAGAAGCACCGGCUAACUACGUGCCAGCAGCCGCGGUGAUACGUAGGGUGCGAGCGUUGUCCGGAUUUAUUGGGCGUAAAGGGCUCGUAGGUGGUUGAUCGCGUCGGAAGUGUAAUCUUGGGGCUUAACCCUGAGCGUGCUUUCGAUACGGGUUGACUUGAGGAAGGUAGGGGAGAAUGGAAUUCCUGGUGGAGCGGUGGAAUGCGCAGAUAUCAGGAGGAACACCAGUGGCGAAGGCGGUUCUCUGGGCCUUUCCUGACGCUGAGGAACGAAAGCGUGGGGAGCGAACAGGCUUAGAUACCCUGGUAGUCCACGCUGUAAACGGUGGGUACUAGGUGUGGGGUCCAUUCCACGGGUUCCGUGCCGUAGCUAACGCUUUAAGUACCCCGCCUGGGGAGUGCGGCCGCAAGGCUAAAACUCAAAGGAAUUGACGGGGCCCCGCACAAGCGGCGGAGCAUGCGGAUUAAUUCGAUGCAACGCGUAGAACCUUACCUGGGUUUGACAUGGAUCGGGAGUGCUCAGAGAUGGGUGUGCCUCUUUUGGGGUCGGUUCACAGGUGGUGCAUGCCUGUCGUCAGCUCGUGUCGUGAGAUGUUGGGUUAAGUCCCGCAACGAGCGCAACCCUUGUUCACUGUUGCCAGCACGUUAUGGUGGGGACUCAGUGGAGACCGCCGGGGUCAACUCGGAGGAAGGUGGGGAUGACGUCAAGUCCUCAUGCCCCUUAUGUCCAGGGCUUCACGCAUGCUACAAUGGCUGGUACAGAGAGUGGCGAGCCUGUGAGGGUGAGCGAAUCUCGGAAAGCCGGUCUCAGUUCGGAUUGGGGUCUGCAACUCGACCUCAUGAAGUCGGAGUCGCUAGUAAUCGCAGAUCAGCAACGCUGCGGUGAAUACGUUCCCGGGGCUUGUACACACCGCCCGUCAAGUCAUGAAAGUUGGUAACACCCGAAGCCGGUGGCCUAACCGUUGUGGGGGAGCCGUCGAAGGUGGGACUGGUGAUUAGGACUA